rnacentral:tRNA from 1 species
GAGUUAGUAACUUAACUGGUAAAGAACUUUCUUGUCGAGAAAGUAGAUGUCGGAUCGUAGCCGACCUGACUCG